UACAGAGGGUGCGAGCGUUUAAUCGGAAUUACUGGGCGUAAAGCGUGCGCAGGCGGUUCGUUGUGUCGGCGGUGAAAGCCCCGGGCUUAACCUGGGAAUGGCCGUUGAAACUGGCGAACUGGAGUGUGGCAGAGGGGGGUGGAAUUCCGCGUGUAGCAGUGAAAUGCGUAGAGAUGCGGAGGAACACCGAUGGCGAAGGCAGCCCCCCUGGGCUAACACUGACGCUGAGGCACGAAAGUGUGGGGAUCAAACAGG
rnacentral:rRNA from 1 species